rnacentral:rRNA from 1 species
GACGAACGCUGGCGGCGUGCUUAACACAUGCAAGUCGAACGGAAAGGCCCUGCUUUUGUGGGGUGCUCGAGUGGCGAACGGGUGAGUAACACGUGAGUAACCUGCCCUUGACUUUGGGAUAACUUCAGGAAACUGGGGCUAAUACCGGAUAGGAGCUCCUGCUGCAUGGUGGGGGUUGGAAAGUUUCGGCGGUUGGGGAUGGACUCGCGGCUUAUCAGCUUGUUGGUGGGGUAGUGGCUUACCAAGGCUUUGACGGGUAGCCGGCCUGAGAGGGUGACCGGCCACAUUGGGACUGAGAUACGGCCCAGACUCCUACGGGAGGCAGCAGUGGGGAAUAUUGCAAAAUGGGCGGAAGCCUGAUGCAGCAACGCCGCGUGCGGGAUGACGGCCUUCGGGUUGUAAACCGCUUUCGCCUGUGACGAAGCGUGAGUGACGGUAAUGAGUAAAGAAGCACCGGCUAACUACGUG